UUUAAACACAAUCAUGAGUUUUGGUGUUCAACGUUGAUCGUUCGUCUUAUUUUAAUUUCUUUUAUAAUUAGUACUUUUUUUAUUAUUAUUAUAUGAUAAAACAUAAAUAAUAUUUUUCUUAAUAUUUUUAUAAAAUAUUUAAAUAAGACGGACGAUUAAAAUUGGACACAGGAACUCGUGUCUGCACUUAAA
rfam:Oryza glumipatula chromosome 11, whole genome shotgun sequence.